rnacentral:rRNA from 1 species
UGGGGAAUCUUGCACAAUGGGGGCAACCCUGAUGCAGCGACGCCGCGUGAGCGAUGAAGCCCUUCGGGGCGUAAAGCUCUUUCGACCGGAACGAUAAUGACGGUACCGGGAGAAGAAGCUGCGGCUAACUACGUGCCAGCAGCCGCGGUAAUACGUAGGCAGCAAGCGUUGUUCGGAGUUACUGGGCGUAAAGAGUGCGUAGGCGGUUUUCUAAGUUCGGUGUUAAAUCUCCCGGCUUAACUGGGAGGGUGCGCCGAAGACUGGGAGGCUGGAGUGUGGGAAAGGCAGGCGGAAUUCCUGGUGUAGCGGUGAAAUGCGUAGAUAUCAGGAGGAACACCGGCGGUGUAGACGGCUUGCUAGACCAUAACGGACGCUGAGGCACGAAAGCGUGGGUAGCAAACA